GGCUCAGAUUGAACGCUGGCGGCAGGCCUAACACAUGCAAGUCGAGCGGAAACGAGUUAUCUGAACCUUCGGGGAACGAUAACGGCGUCGAGCGGCGGACGGGUGAGUAAUGCCUAGGAAAUUGCCCUGAUGUGGGGGAUAACCAUUGGAAACGAUGGCUAAUACCGCAUAAUGCCUACGGGCCAAAGAGGGGGACCUUCGGGCCUCUCGCGUCAGGAUAUGCCUAGGUGGGAUUAGCUAGUUGGUGAGGUAAGGGCUCACCAAGGCGACGAUCCCUAGCUGGUCUGAGAGGAUGAUCAGCCACACUGGAACUGAGACACGGUCCAGACUCCUACGGGAGGCAGCAGUGGGGAAUAUUGCACAAUGGGCGCAAGCCUGAUGCAGCCAUGCCGCGUGUGUGAAGAAGGCCUUCGGGUUGUAAAGCACUUUCAGUCGUGAGGAAGGUAGUGUAGUUAAUAGCUGCAUUAUUUGACGUUAGCGACAGAAGAAGCACCGGCUAACUCCGUGCCAGCAGCCGCGGUAAUACGGAGGGUGCGAGCGUUAAUCGGAAUUACUGGGCGUAAAGCGCAUGCAGGUG
rnacentral:rRNA from 1 species